rnacentral:rRNA from 1 species
AGAGUUUGAUCCUGGCUCAGGAUGAACGCUGGCGGCGUGCCUAACACAUGCAAGUCGAGCGAUUCUCUUCGGAGAAGAGCGGCGGACGGGUGAGUAACGCGUGGGUAACCUGCCCUGUACACACGGAUAACAUACCGAAAGGUAUGCUAAUACGAGAUAAUAUGCUUUUAUCGCAUGGUAGAAGUAUCAAAGCUUUUGCGGUACAGGAUGGACCCGCGUCUGAUUAGCUAGUUGGUAAGGUAACGGCUUACCAAGGCGACGAUCAGUAGCCGACCUGAGAGGGUGAUCGGCCACAUUGGAACUGAGACACGGUCCAAACUCCUACGGGAGGCAGCAGUGGGGAAUAUUGCACAAUGGGCGAAAGCCUGAUGCAGCAACGCCGCGUGAGCGAUGAAGGCCUUCGGGUCGUAAAGCUCUGUCCUCAAGGAAGAUAAUGACGGUACUUGAGGAGGAAGCCCCGGCUAACUACGUGCCAGCAGCCGCGGCAAUACGUAGGGGGCUAGCGUUAUCCGGAAUUACUGGGCGUAAAGGGUGCGUAGGUGGUUUCUUAAGUCAGAGGUGAAAGGCUACGGCUCAACCGUAGUAAGCCUUUGAAACUGGGAAACUUGAGUGCAGGAGAGGAGAGUGGAAUUCCUAGUGUAGCGGUGAAAUGCGUAGAUAUUAGGAGGAACACCAGUUGCGAAGGCGGCUCUCUGGACUGUAACUGACACUGAGGCACGAAAGCGUGGGGAGCAAACAGGAUUAGAUACCCUGGUAGUCCACGCCGUAAACGAUGAGUACUAGCUGUCGGAGGUUACCCCCUUCGGUGGCGCAGCUAACGCGUUAAGCGUGCCGCCUGGGGAGUACGGUCGCAAGAUUAAAACUCAAAGGAAUUGACGGGGGCCCGCACAAGCAGCGGAGCAUGUGGUUUAAUUCGAAGCAACGCGAAGAACCUUACCUAGACUUGACAUCUCCUGCAUUACCCUUAAUCGGGGAAGUUCCUUCGGGAACAGGAAGACAGGUGGUGCAUGGUUGUCGUCAGCUCGUGUCGUGAGAUGUUGGGUUAAGUCCCGCAACGAGCGCAACCCUUAUUGUUAGUUGCUACCAUUUAGUUGAGCACUCUAGCGAGACUGCCCGGGUUAACCGGGAGGAAGGUGGGGAUGACGUCAAAUCAUCAUGCCCCUUAUGUCUAGGGCUACACACGUGCUACAAUGGCAAGUACAAAGAGAAGCAAGACCGCGAGGUGGAGCAAAACUCAAAAACUUGUCUCAGUUCGGAUUGUAGGCUGAAACUCGCCUACAUGAAGCUGGAGUUGCUAGUAAUCGCGAAUCAGCAUGUCGCGGUGAAUACGUUCCCGGGCCUUGUACACACCGCCCGUCA